GGGUGAGUAACACGUGGGUAACCUACCUAUAAGACUGGGAUAACUUCGGGAAACCGGAGCUAAUACCGGAUAACAUUUGGAACCGCAUGGUUCUAAAGUGAAAGAUGAUUUUGCUAUCACUUAUAGAUGGACCCGCGCCGUAUUAGCUAGUUGGUAAGGUAACGGCUUACCAAGGCGACGAUACGUAGCCGACCUGAGAGGGUGAUCGGCCACACUGGAACUGAGACACGGUCCAGACUCCUACGGGAGGCAGCAGUAGGGAAUCUUCCGCAAUGGGCGAAAGCCUGACGGAGCAACGCCGCGUGAGUGAUGAAGGGUUUCGGCUCGUAAAACUCUGUUAUUAGGGAAGAACAAACGUGUAAGUAACUGUGCACGUCUGACGGUA
rnacentral:rRNA from 1 species